rnacentral:sRNA from 1 species
UAUUCUGCCCCAUGGGGAAGGGUAAGAACCUUCGACUAAGGUUCGACUCGAGCGCAGCGAGAGAACGUUGCCGCAGGCAACGGCCCGAAGGGCGAGGAGAGAUAGCGACGAGUUAUCCUUCCCCCACCACCA